rnacentral:rRNA from 1 species
UACGUAGGGUGCGAGCGUUGUCCGGAAUUAUUGGGCGUAAAGGGCUCGUAGGCGGUUUGUCGCGUCGGGAGUGAAAACUCAGGGCUUAACCCUGAGCCUGCUUCCGAUACGGGCAGACUAGAGGUAUGCAGGGGAGAACGGAAUUCCUGGUGUAGCGGUGAAAUGCGCAGAUAUCAGGAGGAACACCGGUGGCGAAGGCGGUUCUCUGGGCAUUACCUGACGCUCAUGCACGAAAGCUAGGGGAGCGAAUGGG